CCUACGGGAGGCAGCAGUGGGGAAUAUUGGGCAAUGGGCGCAAGCCUGACCCAGCAACGCCGCGUGAAGGAAGAAGGCUUUCUGGUUGUUAACUCUUUUUAAGCGGGAAGAGCAGAAGACGGUAUCUCUUGAAUAAGCUACGGCUAACUACGUGCCAGCAGCCGCGUUAAUACGUAGGUGGCAAGCGUUGUCCGGAUUUACUGGGUGUAAAGGGCGUGUAGCCGGGCUGACAAGUCAGAUGUGAAAUCCCGUGGCUCAACCACGGAACUGCAUUUGAAACUGUCGGUCUUGAGUAUCGGAGAGGCAGGCGGAAUUCGUAGUGUAGCGGUGAAAUGCGUAGAUAUUAGGAGGAACACCAGUGGCGAAGGCGGCCUGCUGGACGACAACUGACGGUGAGGCGCGAAAGCGUGGGGAGCAAACAGGAUUAGAUACCCGAGUAGUC
rnacentral:rRNA from 1 species